rnacentral:rRNA from 1 species
CCUACGGGUGGCAGCAGUGGGGAAUAUUGCACAAUGGGGGAAACCCUGAUGCAGCGACGCCGCGUGAGUGAAGAAGUAUUUCGGUACGUAAAGCCCUAUCAGCAGGGAAGAAAAUGACGGUACCUGACUAAGAAGCCCCGGCUAACUACGUGCCAGCAGCCGCGGUAAUACGUAGGGGGCAAGCGUUAUCCGGAUUUACUGGGUGUAAAGGGAGCGUAGACGGCAGCGCAAGUCUGGAGUGAAAUCCCAUGGCUUAACCAUGGAACUGCUUUGGAAACUGUGCAGCUAGAGUGCAGGAGAGGUAAGCGGAAUUCCUAGUGUAGCGGUGAAAUGCGUAGAGAUUAAGAGGAACACCAGUGGCGAAGGCGGCUUACUGGACUGUAACUGACGUUGAGGCUCGAAAGCGUGGGGAGCAAACAGGAUUAGAUACCCCGGUAGUC